GUGCAAUGAUGAUGCAUCUAUAAAUCUGUCAAUCCACUGAUCUCCUGUGAAGUGAACAAGCGGUACUGAGCAC